rnacentral:rRNA from 1 species
GGGACACGUGGUAUCCUGUCUGAAUAUGGGGGGACCAUCCUCCAAGGCUAAAUACUCCUGACUGACCGAUAGUGAACCAGUACCGUGAGGGAAAGGCGAAAAGAACCCCGGCGAGGGGAGUGAAAAAGAACCUGAAACCGUGUACGUACAAGCAGUGGGAGCACGCUUAGGCGUGUGACUGCGUACCUUUUGUAUAAUGGGUCAGCGACUUAUAUUCUGUAGCAAGGUUAACCGAAUAGGGGAGCCGAAGGGAAACCGAGUCUUAACUGGGCGUUAAGUUGCAGGGUAUAGACCCGAAACCCGGUGAUCUAGCCAUGGGCAGGUUGAAGGUUGGGUAACACUAACUGGAGGACCGAACCGACUAAUGUUGAAAAAUUAGCGGAUGACUUGUGGCUGGGGGUGAAAGGCCAAUCAAACCGGGAGAUAGCUGGUUCUCCCCGAAAGCUAUUUAGGUAGCGCCUCGUGAAUUCAUCUCCGGGGGUAGAGCACUGUUUCGGCAAGGGGGUCAUCCCGACUUACCAACCCGAUGCAAACUGCGAAUACCGGAGAAUGUUAUCACGGGAGACACACGGCGGGUGCUAACGUCCGUCGUGAAGAGGGAAACAACCCAGACCGCCAGCUAAGGUCCCAAAGUCAUGGUUAAGUGGGAAACGAUGUGGGAAGGCCCAGACAGCCAGGAUGUUGGCUUAGAAGCAGCCAUCAUUUAAAGAAAGCGUAAUAGCUCACUGGUCGAGUCGGCCUGCGCGGAAGAUGUAACGGGGCUAAACCAUGCACCGAAGCUGCGGCAGCGACGCUUAUGCGUUGUUGGGUAGGGGAGCGUUCUGUAAGCCUGUGAAGGUGUGCUGUGAGGCAUGCUGGAGGUAUCAGAAGUGCGAAUGCUGACAUAAGUAACGAUAAAGCGGGUGAAAAGCCCGCUCGCCGGAAGACCAAGGGUUCCUGUCCAACGUUAAUCGGGGCAGGGUGAGUCGACCCCUAAGGCGAGGCCGAAAGGCGUAGUCGAUGGGAAACAGGUUAAUAUUCCUGUACUUGGUGUUACUGCGAAGGGGGGACGGAGAAGGCUAUGUUGGCCGGGCGACGGUUGUCCCGGUUUAAGCGUGUAGGCUGGUUUUCCAGGCAAAUCCGGAAAAUCAAGGCUGAGGCGUGAUGACGAGGCACUA